rnacentral:rRNA from 1 species
GACGAAAGAUGGAGGCGUGCUUAACACAUGCAAGUCGAACGGAAAGGCCCUGCUUUUGUGGGGUGCUCGAGUGGCGAACGGGUGAGUAACACGUGAGUAACCUGCCCUUGACUUUGGGAUAACUUCAGGAAACUGGGGCUAAUACCGGAUAGGAGCUCCUGCUGCAUGGUGGGGGUUGGAAAGUUUCGGCGGUUGGGGAUGGACUCGCGGCUUAUCAGCUUGUUGGUGGGGUAGUGGCUUACCAAGGCUUUGACGGGUAGCCGGCCUGAGAGGGUGACCGGCCACAUUGGGACUGAGAUACGGCCCAGACUCCUACGGGAGGCAGCAGUGGGGAAUAUUGCACAAUGGGCGGAAGCCUGAUGCAGCAACGCCGCGUGCGGGAUGACGGCCUUCGGGUUGUAAACCGCUUUCGCCUGUGACGAAGCGUGAGUGACGGUAAUGGGUAAAGAAGCACCGGCUAACUACGUG